ensembl:lncRNA
CACUAACAAGGUCAAUGAUGAAUUUGAUGUUUACAUACUUUUCUUCCUUGAGUUUUUGCACUGCAGAUUUUGUAGUCAAUAAGUAUUAUGGGCAAGAGAGAUAUACAAGUGCCCUAGUAUUUCAUGCAAAUUCAAUGGAAAGAAGUGCUUUUGGAAGAUUCUAGAGGAAAAUGCUAUACCAUAAGGACAUUCCAUGAGGGAAGGGGAGAUUGGAGCCAAGGUGACUGCAGCACACUAACUGCACCAGCUAGACAGUGGGAAGUGAUCCUUACAGUUUCUCUAAAUCUUCUGUUGACAAUUAAACAAAACAAGGACACAAGUAAAGUCCUUUCAAUUUUUCCCAUGUCAGCUAACAUAAUCUGAGGCACAUUCAUAUAUGGCUGCGAGUCUAUAAGUAUUUUUCUUCUAAUAUAUUCAGUUUGUCUGUAUUGGAUGUGUCAAAUACAAG